AGAAUCAACGCUGGCGGCGUGCCUAACACAUGCAAGUCGAACGAGAAAGUGGAGCAAUCCAUGAGUAAAGUGGCGACCGGGUGAGUAACACGUGACUAACCUACCUUCGAGUGGGGGAUAACCUCGGGAAACCGAGGCUAAUACCGCAUAACAUCGUGAGAUCAAAGCAGUAAUGCGCUGGAAGAGGGGGUCGCGGCUGAUUAGCUAGUUGGCGGGGUAAUGGCCCACCAAGACUGUGAUCGGUA
rnacentral:rRNA from 1 species